rnacentral:rRNA from 1 species
GACGAACGCUGGCGGCGUGCUUAACACAUGCAAGUCGAACGGAAAGGCCCUGCUUUUGUGGGGUGCUCGAGUGGCGAACGGGUGAGUAACACGUGAGUAACCUGCCCUUGACUUUGGGAUAACUUCAGGAAACUGGGGCUAAUACCGGAUAGGAGCUCCUGCUGCAUGGUGGGGGUUGGAAAGUUUCGGCGGUUGGGGAUGGACUCGCGGCUUAUCAGCUUGUUGGUGGGGUAGUGGCUUACCAAGGCUUUGACGGGUAGCCGGCCUGAGAGGGUGACCGGCCACAUUGGGACUGAGAUACGGCCCAGACUCCUACGGGAGGCAGCAGUGGGGAAUAUUGCACAAUGGGCGGAAGCCUGAUGCAGCAACGCCGCGUGCGGGAUGACGGCCUUCGGGUUGUAAACCGCUUUCGCCUGUGACGAAGCGUGAGUGACGGUAAUGGGUAAAGCAGCACCGGCUAACUACGUG